rnacentral:lncRNA from 1 species
GUGGGAAGGGCACAGCCCUUAUUCCUCCAAAGGCUGGGUAUUUGUGAACUUCUGUGAAAUCUCUAUAUAUCUAUUGGAUAUCUAUUGGAGGACGAACAAAUGUUUAAUCCAUACGCUCUGCCAAGGAAUUGUUUUGGGCAUAGAGCUGCCUUUAGAGAUUUUUCUAUCAUAGGAUUGUGGGAAUAAUUCCUUUAUAUUCUAGAAAGUUCUAACAGUAGAAAUAAGAAAUGUUCUGCUGAUAUUACAGACCUCAUUGAAGACUCUAACCCAAGCCUCUAGGAAAGAUUGGCUACCUGUGGUGUAUCUUCUCUCCACAUAGAUCCUGCAGUGGAAAGUUGAGUAGAAGUAUUCGAAGUACAGAUUACAUGUUUCAAACACACUGCAUGUGAUUCAUCUUCAAGAUAAAUCAGAUUUGCAAGAGAAAAAACUAUGGGCUCUCUAUUGGAUCUCAUCUCCUUCUGUACAAGAAAUAGGAAACAUGGAGUGUCCACUUAAUGAAUACUGGGAUUGGCCAUUUGUAAUACUGAUCUUUGUGAAAUACCAGCUUGAUUUUGUGCUUAGGGUCUUAUCAAGGUCACCUUACCUGCAACCAACAAAAUGGUGAUGAAUAGCACUGUGAAUGAAUUCAUUCUGUUUGGCUUGACACAGGAUCCAAGAAAACAGAAAGCAGUAUUUGGGGUCUUCUUGAUGUUUUACU